rnacentral:rRNA from 1 species
AGAAUCAACGCUGGCGGCGUGCCUAACACAUGCAAGUCGCACGAAAAAGGGUAGCAAUACCUGAGUACAGUGGCGCACGGGUGAGUAACACGUGAAUGAUCUACCUCCGAGUGGGGAAUAACUGAGAGAAAUCUUAGCUAAUACCGCAUAAUACCCACGGGUCAAAGCAGCAAUGCGCUUGGAGAGGAGUUCGCGGCCGAUUAGUUAGUUGGCGGGUAAUGGCCCACCAAGACGAUGAUCGGUA